rnacentral:rRNA from 1 species
AGACCCGAAACCCGGUGAUCUAGCCAUGGGCAGGUUGAAGGUUGGGUAACACUAACUGGAGGACCGAACCGACUAAUGUUGAAAAAUUAGCGGAUGACCUGUGGCUGGGGGUGAAAGGCCAAUCAAACCGGGAGAUAGCUGGUUCUCCCCGAAAGCUAUUUAGGUAGCGCCUCGUGAAUUCAUCUCCGGGGGUAGAGCACUGUUUCGGCUAGGGGGCCAUCCCGGCUUACCAACCCGAUGCAAACUGCGAAUACCGGAGAAUGUUAUCACGGGAGACACACGGCGGGUGCUAACGUCCGUCGUGAAGAGGGAAACAACCCAGACCGCCAGCUAAGGUCCCAAAGUCAUGGUUAAGUGGGAAACGAUGUGGGAAGGCCCAGACAGCCAGGAUGUUGGCUUAGAAGCAGCCAUCAUUUAAAGAAAGCGUAAUAGCUCACUGGUCGAGUCGGCCUGCGCGGAAGAUGUAACGGGGCUAAACCAUGCACCGAAGCUGCGGCAGCGACACUCAGGUGUUGUUGGGUAGGGGAGCGUUCUGUAAGCCUGCGAAGG